GAUGAAGGACGCAGCGAAAUGCGAUAACUAAUGUGAAUUGCAGAAUUCAGUGAAUCAUCGAGUCUUUGAACGCACAUUGCGCCCCCUGGUAUUCCGGGGGGCAUGCCUGUCCGAGCGUCAUUGCUGCCCUCAAGCACGGCUUGUGUGUUGGGCUCCGUCCCCCCGGGGACGGGCCCGAAAGGCAGCGGCGGCACCGAGUCCGGUCCUCGAGCGUAUGGGGCUUUGUCACCCGCUCUGUAGGCCCGGCCGGCGCCAGCCGACAACCCAUCAUCCUUUUCAGGUUGACCUCGGAUCAGGUAGGGAUACCCGCUGAACUUAAGCAUAUCAAUAAGCGGAGGA
rnacentral:misc_RNA from 1 species